rnacentral:lncRNA from 1 species
CGGCCUUCCCACCAACCAAAGCCCCUCCUUACCAAAGCAAAAUAACCGGAGGAAGAAGUCGAAUUGGUUGAAAGAAAACAUUUUUAUAUUAUACAUACAACACGGGGCUCAGGAUGACAGUGCCAGCUGUGGGCGGAGGACACAGGGGCUGUCCCUCCCCUGGGGCCUCCGGGUGCUGGGUCCCAGCCAGGUCUCCCUGGGGCGUGGGGCAAGCCUGGAGGAGCGGGUCAGACAAGCAGGCUUCCCCCUGGUGCUGUCGCUGCUUCACCGCCUAAGGGUGGCCGUACACUCUGCUGCUGAGCUCCGCAUCCACGGGUCCUCGCUGUCCCGGGGGUCAAGGCCGCACGCAGGGUCCUGUUUGCUGAAGCGCUCGAUGACGCACGGGGGUGGGAGAUGACGUGGCUCGCCACAGCCCACGGCCAGGGGGCCCCCUGCGCGGUGGGGGCUGGGCCGUGUCCCCCAGCCCCGAGGUCACUGGCCCAAAAGCUGCUGCCAGGGACCACGCCCUCAGUAGGGAUAAGGGGACACCGCGAUGAGCAGGACGAAGACGCUCUGGUGGCGCGGCGCGGCGGCGCGCACGGUGAGCCGGUAGAGGCCGGCGCGGGGAUGUUUCCAAUGUGGAGCCGCCACUUGGUGCUGGACAGGAGACGGGGCCCGUCACCUGCUGUGGAAUCAAUGUUUGUCCUCUAUGUAAAGUCCAAGGUGUUCAGCUGUACUCAGCAGGAGGAAUGGAGAGAAGUGCGUCUACACCAUCUUGUCUGGAACCCCCCACUCUGCCCCCUGCAGUCCAUGACAAAAAUUUUCAACAAACUAGGUAUAAAAUAAAACUUCCUCCACCUGAUAAAAAGCCACCUACAAAACCCCACAGCUGCCAUCACACUCAAUGGUGUAAGAUUGAAUGCUCCCUGCCUACAGCUAGGAACAAGGCAAGGCCAUCUGCUCUCUCCACUUCCUGUAUCAGAGGGUUUAACCAAUGCAAAGCAGCAAUGCAAGGAAAUGAAAGAUAUCCAGAGAGGCAAGGGAGAGGUAAAACUGUCUCUCCUCAUAGAUGAUGUGUAGAAAGUCCUAUACACAGAAGCUCUUAGGGAAUCUAGCAAAAAUGACCAGGAAUCAAUAAUGAAUUUAGCAAGGUUUUAAGAAUCAGAUACAAAAAUCAAUUGGAUUCUUGUAUAUUAGCAAUGCAAAAUCCAAAAAUCAAAUGAAGAAAACAAUUCCACC